ACGGGUGAGUAAUGUCUGGGAAACUGCCUGAUGGAGGGGGAUAACUACUGGAAACGGUAGCUAAUACCGCAUAACGUCGCAAGACCAAAGAGGGGGACCUUCGGGCCUCUUGCCAUCAGAUGUGCCCAGAUGGGAUUAGCUAGUAGGUGGGGUAACGGCUCACCUAGGCGACGAUCCCUAGCUGGUCUGAGAGGAUGACCAGCCACACUGGAACUGAGACACGGUCCAGACUCCUACGGGAGGCAGCAGUGGGGAAUAUUGCACAAUGGGCGCAAGCCUGAUGCAGCCAUGCCGCGUGUAUGAAGAAGGCCUUCGGGUUGUAAAGUACUUUCAGCGGGGAGGAAGGUGUUGAGGUUAAUAACCUCAGCAAUUGACGUUACCCGCAGAAGAAGCACCGGCUAACUCCGUGCCAGCAGCCGCGGUAAUACGGAGGGUGCAAGCGUUAAUCGGAAUUACUGGGCGUAAAGCGCACGCAGGCGGUCUGUCAAGUCGGAUGUGAAAUCCCCGGGCUCAACCUGGGAACUGCAUUCGAAACUGGCAGGCUGGAGUCUUGUAGAGGGGGGUAGAAUUCCAGGUGUAGC
rnacentral:rRNA from 1 species